rnacentral:lncRNA from 1 species
AUGGUAUUUGAAACAAUGGAAGAAGCAAGAAACUAUUAUGAAGAGUAUGGCCGGCAAGAGGGAUUCUGGAUUAGAACUCGAUCUUCCUCCAAGACAAGAAGGCAUUUAGAUAUGGUAACGAGUAGACAAUUUGUUUGUGCACAUGAAGGAAAAUACGUGCCCAAAAAUACAUCACAGAAGGCUUCAGAAGAGAAUGAUGAGAGAGACAUAAGUGAGAUUGAGAAUAUGAAGAGAACGGGUAAAAAUUGUUCUAUAGUGAAAUGUGGAUGCAAAGCAAGUAUGAGAAUCAAGCUUGAUAGAUGGUCAAACAAAUGGAAAGUAAGACUCUCACAAUCACAAGCCAGUUACACCGGAAAGAAGAAUGAAAAUGAAGUCAAAUAGGGUUAUGCCGAAAGCAGCUAAAAUUCUGACUGAAACAUUUCAUGAAGAAAAUUUGCCAAUUUCAAAAGUUCCUUCAAUCCUUGGUGGCCCGCAUAUUGGUUUUAACAAUAGAGAUUGUUAUAACCACUUGAGAAAUGUCCAGCAUAGACAACUAGAUGGAGGUGAUGCAUAGUUAGUCCUUACUUACUUUAGGAAGAAGCAAGCUGAGAAUACUCAAUUUUUUUUAUGCCAUUCAAUGUGAUGAAAACGGAAGCACAACUAAUUUCUUUUGGGUGGAUGCUCAAUCACGCAUGGCGUACCACUAUUUUGGAGAUGUAGUCACAUUUGACACAACCUAUAGGACAAACAAGUAUGAUAUGCCAUUUGCACCAUUCACAGGAGUAAACCACCAUUUGCAAUCAAUACAAUUUGGAUGUGCACUUUUACAAGAUGAGACAGAGGUGACAUUUUUGUAGUUGUUUGAGACAUGGCUUGAAACAAUGGGAGGACGUCAUCCAGUUUCCAUCAUUAGUGAUCAAGACUUGGCAAUGAAAGGAGCAAUUGCCAAGAUUUUUCCUAACACUGGCCAUCGGUUAUGCCUCUAGCAUAUUAAGAAGAAGUUUGCAGAAAAAUUGUCACAUGUGUACUUCAAGAAGUCCAAAUUCAAAAUUCAAAUGAAGAAAUGUAUUCAGUCAACAUACAACAUAGAGGAAUUUGAAGAAAAGUGGAAGGAAUUGAUGAAAGAAUGUGAAUUGGCUAAUGAUGACUGGUUGAAUAGUUUAUAUGAUAUACAUUCUUCUUGGGUUCCUAUUUAUAAUCAUAACAUAUUUUUUGCAGAAAUGAACACUACUAGAUGUAGUGAGGGUAUUAAUUCUUUUUUUGAUGGAUUCGUUACACCGACAACAAAUCUUAGAGAGUUUGUUGUCAAAUAUGAGCAAGCACUAAAGAGGAUCAUGGAUAGAGAAAGUGAUGAAGAUUUUGAAUCAGAACAUAGGUAUCGCAUUGUAAAUGAAGGAGAAUUCCUUUUGAAACAUGCAUCGAAGUUUUACACUAGAAAUGUUUUCAACAAGUUUAAGGAUGAAUGGAGUAAAGUUACUCUCUUCAAAGUUGAAGAAAUUUCAUGUGACGACGAAUAUCAUGCAUACCUAGUGAAAACAAAACUUGGAGAGCAUGAAGAGUUUGUGGUGAAGUUAAACUUGCAAACAUACAAAGGUAUGUGUGAAUGCCAAAAUUUUGAGUUUGUUGGAAUACUUUGUCAACAUUUGUUGAAAGUAUUUGUUCGCCUUGAUACAGAUACACUACUAGACCAUUUUAUUCUUCCAAGAUGGAGACAAGAAGCAAACAAAUUUAGAAUAAUAGAUUUUAAAAGUUUGGUGACAAAUGAUGGUAAAGAAGAAUCAGAGGCUUUCCGACUUAGCCAUAUGUGUCAUCGAGCAACAAAGUUGGCUUGCAUUGCAGCAUCUUCAAAUGAGGCAUACACAACUUCUAUGGAAGCUAUAAAUGAAUUGUCCAAGAAACUGUCAGACAAUUUUACUCAGCAUGCAACAAUUCCUUCCUCAAUAAUAGGUGAUCCAGGUAGUACUAAUAUUGAUUCCUCUCAAUUGUUGCUUUUGGACCCUAAUAUCUCACAAACUAAGGGUAGAAAGAAGGACAAUAUUAGUGGUUCAAAAAGGAUAAAAAGUGGUAUUGAGUUGGCUCAAAACAAGAAGAAAAGAAAGUGUGCAUUAUGCAAAAAGAUAGCACAACAUGACAAAAGAAAUUGUCCAUCAAAUCUGAAAAGAAGAAAGAACGAAUCAACAAAUCUAUGUAAGUUGGUUCACUUUGUUUUUUGUUUUUUUUGUUUUUUCAUAUUUCUAAUAGUAAGGUCAAAAGCUUAUCUUUAAUUUGAUUAUUAUGAAUCUAAAUAUAGGCAAUGAAGAGUCAGAAGACUUGUGGCAAGAUAUGGAGAGU